rnacentral:tRNA from 1 species
GUGAACGUAGCUCAGUGGUAGAGCUCCGGCUUGUGGUGCCGGCGGUCGCGGGUUCGAAUCCCGUCGUUCACC